GACGAACGCUGGCGGCGUGCCUAAUACAUGCAAGUCGAACGCAGUGGGGACGGGUGAGUAACACGUGGGUAACCUCCCAUCAGAGGGGAUAACACCUGGAAACAGGUGCUAAACCGAUACUGAUGGAUGAACCCGCGGUGCAUUAGCUAGUUGGUGAGUUAACGGCUCACCAAGGCCACGAUGCAUAGGCGACCGGAGAGGUUGAGCGGCCACACUGGGAAGGAGACAAGGCCCAGACUCCUACGGAAGGCAGCAGGAGGGAAUCGGCGGCAAGGGACGAAAGUCUGAACGAGCAACGCCGCGUGAGUGAAGAAGGUUUUCGGAUCGUAAAACUCUGGUGUUAGAGAAGCGGAAUCUAACCAGAAAGCCACGGCUAACUACGUGCCAGCAGCCGCGGUAAUAC
rnacentral:rRNA from 1 species